UCUGCCUGGUAGUGGGGGAUAACGUUCGGAAACGCUGGCGGCAGGCCUAACACAUGCAAGUCGAACGGUAGAGAGAAGCUUGCUUCUCUUGAGAGCGGCGGACGGGUGAGUAAAGCCUAGGAAUCUGCCUGGUAGUGGGGGAUAACGUUCGGAAACGGACUCUAAUACCGCAUAGCGUAGAGCGGAAGAAAGCAGGGGACCUUCGGGCCUUGCGCUAUCAGAUGAGCCUAGGUGGGAUUAGCUAGUAGGUGAGGUAAUGGCUCACCAAGGCGACGAUCCCUAACUGGUCUGAGAGGAUGAUCAGUCACACUGGAACUGAGACACGGUCCAGACUCCUACGGGAGGCAGCAGUGGGGAAUAUUGGACAAUGGGCGAAAGCCUGAUGCAGCCAUGCCGCGUGUGUGAAGAAGGUCUUCGGAUUGUAAAGCACUUUAAGUUGGGAGGAAGGGCAUUAACCUAAUAAGCUCGUCRAUUGACGUUACCCGCAGAAUAAGCACCGGCUAACUCUGUGCCAGCAGCCGCGGUAAUACAGAGGGUGCAAGCGUUAAUCGCAAUUACUGGGCGUAAAGCGCACGUAGGUGGUUUGUUAAGUUGGAUGUGAAAUCCCCGGGCUCAACCUGGGAACUGCAUUCAAAACUGACUGACUAGAGUAUGGUAGAGGGUGGUGGAAUUUCCUGUGUAGCGGUGAAAUGCGUAGAUAUAGGAAGGAACACCGGUGGCGAAGGCGGCCCCCUGGACUAAUACUGACGCUCAGGUGCGAAAGCGUGGGGAGCAAACAGGAUUAGAUACCCUGGUAGUCCACGCCGUAAACGAUGUCAACUAGCCGUUGGGAGCCUUGAGCUCUUAGUGGCGCAGCUAACGCCUUAAGUUGACCGCCUGGGGAGUACGGCCGCAAGGUUAAAACUCAAAUGAAUUGACGGGGGCCCGCACAACCGGUGGGGAAUGUGGUUUAAUUCGAAGCAACGCGAAGAACCUUACCAGGCCUUGACAUCCAAUGAACUUUCUAGAGAUAGAUUGGUGCCUUCGGGAACAUUGAGACACGUGCUGUAGUCCUGUCGUCAGCUCGUGUCGUGAGAUGUUGGGUUAAGUCCCGUAACGAGCGCAACCUUUGUCCUUAGUUACCAGCACGUAAUGGUGGGCACUCUAAGGAGACUGCCGGGUGGACAAACCGGAGGAAGGUGGGGAUGACGUCAAAGUCAU
rnacentral:rRNA from 1 species